rnacentral:rRNA from 1 species
GACGAACGCUGGCGGCAUGCCUAACACAUGCAAGUCGAACGAUGACGCUUGGUGUUGGCGCUGGGGGGAUGAGUGGCGAACGGGUGAGUAAUAUGUGAGUAACCUGACUUUGAGUCUGGGAUAAGCCUGGGAAAUUGGGUCUACUACUGGAUACGACAUGUCACCGCAUGGUGGUGUGUGGAAAGGGUUUUAUUGGUUGUGGAUGGGCUCACGGCCUAUCAGCUUGGUGGUGGGGUAAUGGCUCAGCAAGGCGACGCGGGGUAGCCUGCCUGAGCGGGGGACCUGCCACACUACGACUGAGACACGACACAGACUACUACGGUAGGCAGCGGUGGGGAAUAGUGUACAAGAGGCUGGAGCCUGAUGCAACGACGCCACGUCGGGGAAGACAGCCUUCGGGUAGUAAACCUCUGUCAGCACAGAAGAAGCGAAAGUGACGGUACGUGCAGAAGAAGCGCCGGCUAACUACGUG